rnacentral:tRNA from 1 species
GCCCGGGUGGUGGAAUUGGUAGACACGCAGGACUUAAAAUCCUGUGGCCAUUGCGGCCGUGCGGGUUCAAGUCCCGCCCCGGGUACAA